rnacentral:rRNA from 1 species
UACGUAGGGUGCAAGCGUUGUCCGGAAUUAUUGGGCGUAAAGAGCUCGUAGGCGGUCUGUCGCGUCGGCUGUGAAAUCCCGAGGCUCAACCUCGGGUCUGCAGUCGAUACGGGCAAACUAGAGUAUUGCAGAGGAGACUGGAAUUCCCGGUGUAGCAGUGAAAUGCGUAGAUAUCGGGAGGAAUACCGAUGGCGAAGGCAGGUCUCUGGGCUAUAACUGACGCUCAUGCACGAAAGCGUGGGGAGCAAACAGG